GACGAACGCUGGCGGCGUGCUUAACACAUGCAAGUCGAACGGCAAGGCCCUGCUUUUGUGGGGUGCUCGAGUGGCGAACGGGUGAGUAACACGUGAGUAACCUGCCCUUGACUUUGGGAUAACUUCAGGAAACUGGGGCUAAUACCGGAUAGGAGCUCCUGCUGCAUGGUGGGGGUUGGAAAGUUUCGGCGGUUGGGGAUGGACUCGCGGCUUAUCAGCUUGUUGGUGGGGUAGUGGCUUACCAAGGCUUUGACGGGUAGCCGGCCUGAGAGGGUGACCGGCCACAUUGGGACUGAGAUACGGCGCAGAGGCCUACGGGAGGCAGCAGUGGGGAAUAUUGCACAAUGGGCGGAAGCCUGAUGCAGCAACGCCGCGUGCGGGAUGACGGCCUUCGGGUUGUAAACCGCUUUCGCCUGUGACGAAGCGUGAGUGACGGUAAUGGGUAAAGAAGCACCGGCUAACUACGUG
rnacentral:rRNA from 1 species